CAUCUGAAAUUAAAAUAAAAAAAAUAAUUUUACUAAAUGAUAAUAAGCAAUAUGAAAUGGUCAAUAAUGUUUACAAGAAACAAGUAUCUUUAUCAUACAAGUCACAUAAUGUAUUUUGCAAAUUAAGGAACAAUUUCACUAACUUACGUGCAAGUAUCAAUAAAAUAUCCAAUAUUAAUAUGUUCAAAUUUCAGUCUCAAAAAAUUUUAAGCUUCUGUGAAAGUGGUUUCACUUGUAUAAAUCCUAUUCUAAAGUUAUCAAACUUUAUCUAAUGUGUUUUUUGUUUUUAUGAGGUAUAAGGGGGUCUAGUCAAGACAGCGUAACAGAAGUGUAUGUAGAAAGUCGAAAACUAAAUUUGUAUGAAAAUGACAGCUAGUGUCGACAGUUGGUACCAACUACUAGCUGUCAUUUUCAUACAAAUUUAGUUUUCGACUUUCUACAUACACUACCGUUAAGGCGUCUUGACUAUAAGGUAUACAUCAAUCAGUCACAGAAAUUUAGUACUUUUAGACUUAAAUUUUUUACAUUACAACAGCUGUGCUAAAUUUGACAAAUACUUUGUCUCAAUUUAUAUAAAUAAUACAUACAUUUCUAUAUAAAAAUAUUAUAUUCAUGAUAUUUUUAGGCCUAUCAUAUUUUACACUUCAAUAGUGUGAGUAAAAAAUCUUAUUAUAUUUGCGAUUUGCCAACAGGUGGCAGUUUACCAGUGUUACAGCAAAACGAAUAAAACUAAGGACGUUAUAUUAAAUUAAUACACUACUAGAUGGCAGUUUUAUUAAUUUUAUCAUUUACGACAAGUAAAAUGAAAUGUUAUUUCUAAAUUCUACCGUUAUUUAUUUUCCUGAUCAGAUACUGAAAAAUGGUUUUCAUUGCAAUAAUAAUACAUAAGUUAUCUAUAUAACUAAACAGGUCAGCUAAGACAAGUAAAAUAUUUCCUGAGACGAAACGCGACAAUAUUUCUUCCUUGCCACUAGAAUUAUCUUGGAAAAUAUUUUCUUACUUAGACGAUCGAAGUUUAUGCAUUGUUUGUCGAGCGUGUAAAGUAUGGAAGCGGAUAAUAUUAG